GUGCUUGCUUCGGCAGCACAUAUACUAAAAUUGUAACGAUACAGAGAAGAUUAUCAUGGCCCUUGAGCAAGAAUGACAUGUAAAUUCAUGUUAAGCAUUCCAUAUUUUU